CAUGCAGUCGCACGGGCAGCAAUGUCAGUGGCGGACGGGUGAGUACCGCGUAGGGAUGUGUCCAGAGGUGGGGGAUAACUCCGGGAAACUGGAGCUAAUACCGCAUAUGGCCUGAGGGCCAAAGCAGUGAUGCGCCUUUGGAGUAACCUGCGUCCGAUUAGCUAGUUGGUGGGGUAAAGGCCUACCAAGGCGACGAUCGGUAGCUGGUCUGAGAGGACGACCAGCCACACUGGGACUGAGACACGGCCCAGACUCCUACGGGAGGCAGCAGUGGGGAAUAUUGGACAAUGGGCGCAAGCUGAUCCAGCAAUGCCGCGUGGGUGAAGAAGGUCUUCGGAUCGUAAAGCCCUUUCGGCGGGGACGAUGAUGACGGUACCCGCAGAAGAAGCCCCGGCUAACUUCGUGCCAGCAGCCGCGGUAAUACGGAGGGGCUAGCGUUACUCGGGAAUUACUGGGCGUAAAGGGCGCGUAGGCGGCGCUCCAAGUUAGGCGUGAAAGCCCUGGGCUCAACCUGGGGACUGCGCUUAAGACUGGAGUGCUAGAGGAUGGAAGAGGGGU
rnacentral:rRNA from 1 species